rnacentral:rRNA from 1 species
UACGUAGGGGGCAAGCGUUGUCCGGAUUUACUGGGCGUAAAGAGCGCGCAGGCGGUCGUUCAAGUCGAGUGUGAAAGCCCCCGGCUCAACUGGGGAGGGUCACUCGAUACUGAUCGACUCGAAGGCAGGAGAGGGAAGUGGAAUUCCCGGUGUAGUGGUGAAAUGCGUAGAUAUCGGGAGGAACACCAGUGGCGAAGGCGACUUCCUGGCCUGUUCUUGACGCUGAGGCGCGAAAGCGAGGGGAGCAAACGGG